ACGUAGGGUGCAAGCGUUGUCCGGAAUUACUGGGUGUAAAGGGAGCGCAGGCGGACCGGUAAGUUGGAAGUGAAAACUAUGGGCUCAACCCAUAAAUUGCUUUCAAAACUGCUGGCCUUGAGUAGUGCAGAGGUAGGUGGAAUUCCCGGUGUAGCGGUGGAAUGCGUAGAUAUCGGGAGGAACACCAGUGGCGAAGGCGACCUACUGGGCACCAACUGACGCUGAGGCUCGAAAGCAUGGGUAGCAAACAG
rnacentral:rRNA from 1 species